CUGAAUUAAGGAAGUGAGUUAGUUCAGAUAAAUGCGAGUGCUGAAGUUGCAGAAUCAAACAGGGCAUAUGUGGAGGAAGACCUCGAGAUCGGGAUAUCGCCCCACCUUAUCUCAACACCACGUCGUUUGAAAGGGGCGGUGCAUGGUGUUCCGAUGACGACAAAUUCCAAGAAAAUUUAUGUCGGCAGACGGCGAGCCAAGGGAGUCAACCGUGGCUGCUUGCGUCGGCCGCCGAACUGCUGCAGUAACAUGGAGGGAAGGGUUCUCUCUGUCGUGUGGACAGAGCUCGGCCUCUGAAGAAAGUCCAACCUCCCUCGGGUGUUAUCUGCAGGCACCUGCCCACCAUUUCUAUUAUUCAUGCAUUCAACCUCCGGAAGUCUUCAUCGUUCUCAGGACUGCCAAUGUAGACAACCUGGUGGAUGCAAUGAUCAAUCAGGACGUGGUCAUCUGGUCAUUCUCACAAGGUGGGCCUGAUUAAUGGAUUCAUUUAAGGCGACACAGCUUUAGGCAAAGCCACUGCUGCCGGUAAUAUUCCUCUUUCUGUCUGUCUGACCACCGGACCGGAGUUGAAUUACUUGUUGAACAUCAUUGCAUCUUGAGAAUCAAAUUUUCAAGAAAAUAGAUGGUUCUUUAAGCUGA